rnacentral:rRNA from 1 species
UGAGUAACCUGCCCUUAACCCCGGGAUAAGCCUGGGAAACUGGGUCUAAUACCGGAUAUGACUCCUCAUCGCAUGGUGGGGGGUGGAAAGCUUUAUUGUGGUUUUGGAUGGACUCGCGGCCUAUCAGCUUGUUGGUGAGGUAAUGGCUCACCAAGGCGACGGACGGGUAGCCGGCCUGAGAGGGUGACCGGCCACACGUGGGACUGAGACACGGCCCAGACUCCUACGGGAGCAG